UACGUAGGGAGCAAGCGUUAUCCGGAUUUACUGGGUGUAAAGGGAGCGUAGACGGCCAGACAAGUCAGAAGUGAAAGCCCAGGGCUCAACCCUGGGACUGCUUUUGAAACUGUGUUGCUAGAUUGCAGGAGAGGUAAGUGGAAUUCCUAGUGUAGCGGUGAAAUGCGUAGAUAUUAGGAGGAACACCAGUGGCGAAGGCGGCUUACUGGACUGUAAAUGACGCUGAGGCUCGAAAGCGUGGGGAGCAAACAGG
rnacentral:rRNA from 1 species